rnacentral:misc_RNA from 1 species
CCGAGUCUACAACUCCCAAACCCCUGUGAACAUACCUAUCGUUGCUUCGGCGGAUCCGCCCCGGCGCCCUCGGGCCCGGAUCAGGCGCCCGCCGGAGACCCCAAACUCUUGUAUUUCUUUAGUAUCUUCUGAGUAAACAAGCAAAUAAAUUA